UACGGGGGGGGUAAGCGUUGUUCGGAAUUACUGGGCGUAAAGGGCUCGUAGGCGGCCAACUAAGUCAGACGUGAAAUCCCUCAGCUUAACUGGGGAACUGCGUCUGAUACUGGAUGGCUUGGAUUCGGGAGAGGAAUGCGGAAUUCCAGGUGUAGCGGUGAAAUGCGUAGAGAUGUGGAGGAACACCAGUGGCGAAGGCGGCGAUCUGGGAAGAUACUGACGCUGAGGUGCGAAAGCGUGGGAGCAAACAGG
rnacentral:rRNA from 1 species